rnacentral:rRNA from 1 species
AUUGAACGCUGGCGGCAGGCCUAACACAUGCAAGUCGAACGGUAACAGGAAGCAGCUUGCUGCUUCGCUGACGAGUGGCGGACGGGUGAGUCAUGUCUGGGAAGCUGCCUGAUGGAGGGGGAUAACUACUGGAAACGGUAGCUAAUACCGCAUAAUGUCGCAAGACCAAAGAGGGGGACCUUCGGGCCUCUUGCCAUCGGAUGUGCCCAGAUGGGAUUAGCUUGUUGGUGGGGUAACGGCUCACCAAGGCGACGAUCCCUAGCUGGUCUGAGAGGAUGACCAGCCACACUGGGACUGAGACACGGUCCAGACUCCUACGGGAGGCAGCAGUGGGGAAUAUUGCACAAUGGGCGCAAGCCUGAUGCAGCCAUGCCGCGUGUAUGAAGAAGGCCUUCGGGUUGUAAAGUACUUUCAGCGGGGAGGAAGGGAGUAAAGUUAAUACCUGUGCUCAUUGACGUUACCCGCAGAAGAAGCACCGGCUAACUCCGUG